UGGUGGGUAGUUUGACUGGGGCGGUCUCCUCCUAAAGAGUAACGGAGGAGCACGAAGGUUGGCUAAUCCUGGUCGGACAUCAGGAGGUUAGUGCAAUGGCAUAAGCCAGCUUGACUGCGAGCGUGACGGCGCGAGCAGGUGCGAAAGCAGGUCAUAGUGAUCCGGUGGUUCUGAAUGGAAGGGCCAUCGCUCAACGGAUAAAAGGUACUCCGGGGAUAACAGGCUGAUACCGCCCAAGAGUUCAUAUCGACGGCGGUGUUUGGCACCUCGAUGUCGGCUCAUCACAUCCUGGGGCUGAAGUAGGUCCCAAGGGUAUGGCUGUUCGCCAUUUAAAGUGGUACGCGAGCUGGGUUUAGAACGUCGUGAGACAGUUCGGUCCCUAUCUGCCGUGGGCGCUGGAGAACUGAGGGGGGCUGCUCCUAGUACGAGAGGACCGGAGUGG
rnacentral:rRNA from 2 species